rnacentral:rRNA from 1 species
CCAGACUCCUACGGGAGGCAGCAGUGGGGGAUAUUGCACAAUGGGGGAAACCCUGAUGCAGCGACGCCGCGUGAGUGAAGAAGUAUUUCGGUAUGUAAAGCUCUAUCAGCAGGGAAGAAGAUGACAGUACCUGAGUAAGAAGCCCCGGCUAACUACGUGCCAGCAGCCGCGGUAAUACGUAGGGGGCAAGCGUUAUCCGGAUUUACUGGGUGUAAAGGGAGCGUAGACGGAUGGAUAAGUCUGAAGUGAAAGCCCGCGGCUCAACUGCGGGACUGCUUUGGAAACUGUGCAUCUUGAGUACGGGAGGGGCAGGCGGAAUUCCUGGUGUAGCGGUGAAAUGCGUAGAUAUCAGGAGGAACACCGGCGGCGAAGGCGGCCUGCUGGACCGAAACUGACGUUGAGGCUCGAAAGCGUGGGGAGCAAACAGGAUUAGAUACCCGAGUA